rnacentral:rRNA from 1 species
UACGGGGGGAGCAAGCGUUGUUCGGAUUUACUGGCGUUAAAGGGGCGCGUAGGCGGUCAGCACAAGUCAGUUGUGAAAUCGUCCGGGCUUAACCCCGGAAAGGUCAACUGAUACUGUGCGACUAGAGUGCGGAAGGGGCAACUGGAAUUCUACGGUGUAGCGGUGAAAUGCGUAGAUAUCGAGAGGAACACCUGCGGCGAAGGCGGGUUGCUGGGCCGACACUGACGCUGAUGCGCGAAAGCCAGGGGAGCGAACGGG